CACGUAGGGCGCAAGCGUUGUCCGGAAUUAUUGGGCGUAAAGAGCUCGUAGGCGGUCUGUUGCGUCCGCUGUGAAAACUCGGGGCUUAACCCCGAGCCUGCAGUGGAUACGGGCAGACUAGAGGUAGGUAGGGGAGAAUGGAAUUCCUGGUGUAGCGGUGAAAUGCGCAGAUAUCAGGAGGAACACCGGUGGCGAAGGCGGGACUCUGGGCCGAUACUGACGCUGAGGAGCGAAAGCGUGGGGAGCAAACAGG
rnacentral:rRNA from 1 species